rnacentral:rRNA from 1 species
GAUGAACGCUAGCGGCAGGCUUAAUACAUGCAAGUCGAGGGGCAGCACGGAUAGCAAUAUCUGGUGGCGACCGGCGCACGGGUGCGUAACACGUAUGUAACCUACCUUAAACUGGGGAAUAGCCCCUUGAAAAGGGAUUAAUACCCCAUAACACUGCGAUAAGGCAUCUUAUUGCAGUUAAAGUUCCGACGGUUUAAGAUGGACAUGCGUGACAUUAGCUAGUUGGUGAGGUAACGGCUCACCAAGGCUACGAUGUCUAGGGGUCCUGAGAGGGUUAACCCCCACACUGGUACUGAGACACGGACCAGACUCCUACGGGAGGCUG